UCCAGUGUUCUUGCCUGGAGAAUCCCAGGGACAGAGGAACCUGGUAGGAGGCCGUCUAUGGGGUCGCACAGAGUUGGACACGACUGAAGUGACUUAGCAGCAUUGGAGAUUCAGAAGUUUGUUGUUUCUCCCAGCAUGGAUCUUCAAAACCCUCUGCAGCAGCUCAUCCAAGACAUGGAAUGGAUCAAGUGUGUAGCCAGAAAGACAGGCUUCAUCUAGUCUCCCCCUGCUGAACACUGACCGUUUCUGUUCAUUUGGUUAAAGGAAUCUGUGAUAGCAAGAAUCCUUGCUUUGAGCAUAAAACUCCCACCCAAUCAAACUCUGUAGAACCAGCCAUCAUUGCUGUAAAUGGAAAACUGAGGGGAAGUAUAAAGUUGAGCUAAUGGCCAAAUGGAAAUAAAGCUAGAAGUUCUCUCAAAUAUCAGAUACUGAAGAUGUAUUUUUUUAACAGCCAAUUUUCCAUCUUGUAUGUUUUUUUUUUAAAAUAUUAGUAAUGUAACAGUACUAUACAUCAGUGAAAAGAAUAAAAUAUCACUGCACACAUCAAUUUGGAUGCAUCUCAGAAGAUAUUAUUAAGUGAAAAAAUCAAGUUACAGAAGAAUUCAGACAGUGAUUCCAUUUAUAUCAACUCAGAACAUUCGAGACUAAAUCACCCACUGUGUGAGAAUAUCAACAUGUGUGUCAAAGCAUGGUAAGGAUAAUUCAAAAUUCAGGGUGAUGGUUCCUUCUAAGAACAGUAUGACAUCAUGGAGUGAUACAUAGAGGCCCUUAAAAGUGCCCCAAACACUCCAUGUUCCUUAUUUUGAGUGGUGGGCACAUGGUGAUCAGUUUUAUUGUAACUCACUCUACCUUAUGCACAUAUUGUAAUUAAAUUUUUGUAUCCAUUCAGUGUUUAAUAAAAACAGCUAAAACUAAGUUGAGAACAUG